CUUCGGUGAUGAUACGAUGACGAGUCGGAAUAGGACCAGUUCUGUUUGAGGAUGCUGGGUCAGGAGCACGUUCUGUGCGUCUGGUUACAGGUCCUCAAUGCAGACGGUCCUUCUUGCUUGAAGACAUCGAGGCAUUUGUCUGAGAAGG